AAUAUUGGACAAUGGGGGCAACCCUGAUCCAGCCAUGCCGCGUGUGUGAAGAAGGUCUUCGGAUUGUAAAGCACUUUAAGUGGGGAGGAAGGGCUUUAGGUUAAUACCCUGAAGUUCUGACGUCACCAACAGAACAAGCACCGGCUAACGCUGUGCCAGCAGCCGCGGUAAUACAGAGGGUGCAAGCGUUAACCGGAAUUACUGGGCGUAAAGCGCGCGUAGGUGGUUCAGUAAGAUGGGUGUGAAAUCCCCGGGCUUAACCUGGGAACUGCUUUCAUAACUGCUGAGCUGGAGUACGGUAGAGGGUAGUGGAAUUUCCUGUGUGGCGGUGAAAUGCGUAGAUAUAGGAAGGAACACCAGUGGCGAAGGCGACUACCUGGACUGAUACUGACACUGAGGUGCGAAAGCGUGGGGAGCAAACA
rnacentral:rRNA from 1 species